GUAAAAUAGGAGCUUGUGAUACUUACUGUGUAAAAUCAAACCAGUUAACUGCUUUUCUUCUAGUUAAUCAUUAGUCUAAACCCUCGCAGACAGCGGCUGUGUCAUCACAGUUUCUUACUCUCUCCUUUGCAGUAGCCUGCAGACAAUACACUAUUCAGUCCGGGACAAGCAGGCAAACUAAUCGAACAGUGAGUCAUGCAGCGUUUCACCGCAGCACCAGACCCUGCUGGUGGAGGAAAGCUGUUAAUUGCUUUGGAUCGGAGCACAAACCCAACAUCAGCUCCGACGUGCGGACUGAGCGUCUAGAGAAGGACUGUUCAGUUUCUCUCGGAGUAAUUAAGAUCGGAAGCUGCACUUUAGAGUUGUUGUUGUUGUUGUUUUUUUUUUUUUUUUGAGGGGGUGUGAGUUAACGACUGCGCGAAGGAUCACCGACCUUUGAAUUCAGUGGUGUCGCCAUGCAGUGGAGGAUGGAUGAAAGAGAGCGAGCGGGGCGGGAGAAAUAUCACAGAUGAUGCGGAUUCUGCACGGCGGGUUGUCUCUUCAGCCUCUUCCAGCAGCAGCCCUGCCUCCUGUAAAAGGUGUGGCUAUCGUGGCUGUCGGCGACUUUAUUUGUUUUGGUUGGCGACAUCCUGCAGGGCGCAUAGUGAAGCACUGGCACUCAUGGCUGUUUAACAGGCGUUUACGCACUGAUCCAGCUCAGCAGUAAGGUAAGACAAUGCCGGUGUCCGGUCCUGUGCGUGGGUUGGGUUGGAAGAAACUGGUAGGUUUGGGUGACAGCACAGGAGUGUAGCAAUAACUUGACUCAGUGAGCUUUGCAGAGAGAUUUUGGGCUUAGGUUGUUGCAGGUGCGUCCACCUUGUGGAGAAAUUCUGCGUUGCUUAAGGUACUCAGCAAAACCGUACAUCAUUACAAUCCUGAGCUAGAGGACAGCGUGCUCCCGAUGAUACAUUUCAGUAUUUUCAGAUGGAAAAUGUAUCGGUGGUAGCCUGACUUAUACUGUAAUCCAACACCACAGGAAACUGUGUGUGUGUGUGUGUUCUGUAAUGGAGGCAAGCUGAAGUGAGA
ensembl:lncRNA